rnacentral:rRNA from 1 species
AACGAACGCUGGCGGCAGGCCUAACACAUGCAAGUCGAGCGGACCCUCAGGGAUUAGCGGCGGACGGGGGUGGAACGCGGGGGAACGUGCCCUUUUCUUCGGGAUAGUCCUGGGACACUGGGAGUAAUACAGGAUACGCCCUUUUGGGGCCAGAUACAACGUCGAAGGGUAGGCACGCGUUGGAUUAGGUAGUUGGUGGGGUAAUGGCCUACCAAGGCGUCGCUACUUAGCUGGGUUGAGAGGAAGAACAGCCACGCUGGGGCUGGGACACGGUCGAGACUCCUACGGGAGGCAGCAGUGGGGAAUCUUAGACAAUGGGGGAAACCCUGAUCGAGCCAUGCCGCGUGAGCGAUGAAGGCCUUAGAGUUGUAAAGCUCUUUCACCGGGGAAGAUAAUGACGGUACCCGGAGAAGAAGCCCCGGCUAACUCCGUG